rnacentral:rRNA from 1 species
UACGAAGGGGGCUAGCGUUGCUCGGAAUCACUGGGCGUAAAGCGCACGUAGGCGGCUUUCUAAGUCAGGGGUGAAAUCCUGGAGCUCAACUCCAGAACUGCCCUUGAUACUGGAGAGCUUGAGUUCGGGAGAGGUGAGUGGAACUGCGAGUGUAGAGGUGAAAUUCGUGGAUAUUCGCAAGAACACCAGUGGCGAAGGCGGCUCACUGGCCCGAUACUGACGCUGAGGUGCGAAAGCGUGGGGAGCAAACAGG